GGCAGCAGUGGGGAAUAUUGCACAAUGGAGGAAACUCUGAUGCAGCGACGCCGCGUGAACGAUGAAGGCUUUCGGGUCGUAAAGUUCUGUCCUAGGGGACGAUUAUGACGGUACCCUAGGAGGAAGCCCCGGCUAACUACGUGCCAGCAGCCGCGGUAAU
rnacentral:rRNA from 1 species